GCUUGUCGCCCCAGGCACGCGCUGGCUGCGCUGGUGCCUGGAGCCGCCCCUGUAUACUGCUAACAGUUAAUGGGGAUUCUCCUUCAUCUCAUCUGUCAGUGACGUGAGUUUUUCAGGCAGCAGGAUCUGGGCUCUGUCCCUGCCCUGCCAGACAUUUCUGAGCAGCUGCCGGAUGCAGCAUAGAGACAGCCUAGGAAGCCGUGGGCUUGUGACAAUGUUGUUCCCUGGCAUCUGUAAUGGAGGGAUGGGGGAGCGGGAGCGAAGAUGGAAGGACAAAGGGUUCUAGUCCCAGUUGGCUUCAGGUCCCAGUGGGGCCCUGAGUCAGCCUCAGUGGACCCCCUUUGUAAAGGGCUCCCCCUCGGAGAGCACUGCAGCCCCUGAACUGGGAGAGGCUGUGAUGCCUGAUGCCCCCUGGGAACACACGGGACUUGGCACCUAAACCCCCGGACUCCUCACUCCCAGGGCUUUUCCUUUCCUGUGCCCAGGAAGCGACUCUCAGUUUCAACAUCAUCACCUACGUGGGACUGACCCUCUCCCUGCUGUGCCUCUUCCUCGCCAUCCUCACCUUCCUCCUGUGCCGCUCCAUCCGCAGCAUCAGCACCUCCCUCCACCUGCAGCUCUGCCUCUGCCUCUUCCUGGCCGACCUGCUCUUCCUCACCACGGUGACUCCCACCGUCAGUCCGCAAUGUGCACCUGCAGGACCCUCCAUAGACCGAGGAACCUGCCGUCUCUGGGUCACAGAGCGCUAUAACUGGAGAGCUGUGCUAACAAGAAUCCCGGUGUGACCCCCCGGCAGGUCUCCCCCAUACUCAGCAUUUCCGUUCCCCACCGCAGUGUCCCUGGGCUCUCUGUCUCCCCCAGGUGGCGUGUGCUGUCAUUGCUGGCCUCCUACACUACCUCUUCCUGGCCUCCUUCAGCUGGAUGUUCCUGGAGGGCUGCACCUCUUCCUCACCGUCAGGAACCUGAAGGUCGUGAAUUACACCAGCGCCAGCCGGUUCAAGAAGAGAUUCAUGUACCCGUUCGGCUACGGAUUCCCAGCCCUGGUGGUGGCUAUUUCUGCAGCGGUGAAUCCUGACGGCUACGGAACUUCCAAACACUGCUGGCUAAGCCUGGACAGAGGCUUUCGUUGGAGCUUCCUGGGUCCAGUCUGUGCCAUAAUCCUGGUGGGUACCUCCCAGAACCACAGGGCCCCAUUCUCCUCUCACCUCUGCCACCCCAUUGA